ACAACGACGACGACGACGGACGACGGACGCCACGGUAUGGGAUAAGCUCACCUCUGCUAAGAGGUGAGCUAAUGAAAUGCUACAUAAUAACAUUUACCAGGUUGGUUGUCAACAUAUAAAACUAUAGGAAACAGCGGCCGAAGUGAGAGCAUGGAAAUCCCGGCAAGAUACCAUGCCCCAAUACACAUGGAAAACAGUGUACAAUCUACACGUGUCAAUACUGGUUUCAUUACAUUACUCCCCCCUUGAUAAAAUUUGACGACCUCGUCAACAAUAUCCAUAUAAUCAUAACAUUAACCAAACAAGCGAAAACUUUCAACAGUUCAGCUUUAACAUUUAAGUCCAGCUUAAAAAAUUCUAACUGGUCAGCUUUAAGGAAUAAAUAGAUGGAAAACUCCAAGCACUCUAAAUAAUCACAGUAAGCUUUUGAUAUAGCCAUCCAUAAGUUGCAAUGUUAUAUGUUAUAAUAUUAUUAGUAUUAGUAUAUUCCGAUAGAGUUGUACAAAUUUAAGAAAAUUUCCAAAUAGCUCUUGAUGUAGCCAUCCAAUAUUAUAUAUACAAAUUUCAAAAGUUUGAAAGUAGCUCUUGAUGCAGCCAUCCAAUAAUACAGGUACAACUCUCAAAGUAAACAUUUAGUGUUCAUUAACUGGUUUGAGUAAGGACGCUAUUUCAGCACUUCCGAUCUCCAUGUCAUCUCUCAAUUCCAGUUUCGCCUUCCGCCACUUUCUACAUUCCCUGGUUCUCUUCUCUAAGGCCCUCGAUAGUCGAUCUAUUGCUCUCGUCUGAUCCUUACAUUGCUCAGUGUUCUUAUUUAUGUUAUUGGUCGGGGACCUUAUUCACAAAAGGCUCUUAGCGGUUAAGUGUCACUUAUGUCUCUCUACGGUCGACCAUAAUAUUUAUCGCACUAUUCGCAAAGCCUGCGUAACUUUACGCAACAUGUGUAAAGUCUUACUUAACUACGUGAGCUCGACAGCAUGCGUAAGUCGUGCGGAUGUCUUCAAUAGUCAUCUGAUAGCUGAGCUUGCUGUACAAGACAUGUGAUGCUAUGGUGGCCGCGUUUUUCGCACUCGAAGAAGAGAAUCGUCCGGCACUACGUCGAGAACGGAUCUUUCGUGACCGAAUCCAUCCAUUUGACAAAUAUGACGAUGUGGACUUGCUUAAGCGAUAUAGGAUGCCAUGACCCGUGCUGAUGCAAGGUGUUGACCUAUUGUAUGACGAUGUCGCACACCCCACGAACCGUUCACACGCUGUCCCCGCCUCAUUGCAAGUUCUUAGUGCUAUUCGGUAUUAUGCAACGGGCAGCUUUCAGUUGACGGUGAUACCGUGCAUCUGAGCCAGCCAACUUUGUCUAGAAUUGUAACGCGUGUUACUGACGCGCUAGCUCACAAAGCAAGUAUUUUCAUAAAGUUUCCAUUCGAUGAGGCCUCGCUAGAUAGGAUAAAGGAGGGAUUCUACACAGACCGGCACAGGAUACCAAAUGUUGUAGGCGUGGUAGACGGCAGCUUAGUUUAAAUCAAAAGUCCAUCUAUCAACGAGCCGUCAUAUGUUUGUCGUAAGGGCUUUCACGCAAUCAACAUUCAAGGGAUCUGUACCAACGACUUGAAGUUCACUAGCAUCGUUUCGUCUUGGCCUGGCAGUACGCACGAUGCAUUCAUCUUGUCGAACUGUGAAUUAAAUCGGAAGCUACAACGAGGAGCUGUAAACGACGGUUUCUUACAUGGUGACAAAGCUUAUCCAUUGCGCCCUUGGCUGUUAACUCCUAUUCGUAGACCAGAGACCAACUCCGAACUUAAUUACAACCGGCACCAUCAAAGAGCACGACAGAGGAUUGAAGCAACGUUUGGCAGGUGGAAGACAAGAUGGCUUUGCUUGAGUGGGGCACUUACUCUAAAACCCGACAAGUGCUGCAAAGUUAUUGUUGCGACACCCGUGUUACACAACAUAUGUGAGGAGCAUGGCGUCCCUGUUCCUCCUGACGAACCGGUGAAUGAUGAAGAUGCGCAAAACCUAGACGAUGAUGAACCAUUUGGCGAUGAAGACCGAGACGGUCAAAGAAGGAGGGCCGCACUUAUCUGUGAACAGUUCUAAACUAAAUCAAAGAGAGAAGAAAAAUAUGAGGCGUUCUUUUUCCACAUCCAGCAAAUCAUUUCCGCAUGAAGAUUUCUUUAACGGGGUCUGCUGACGGUUAGGAGUCGGCGUGGAUUUAGUUGCAGCCGGUGCACUUUUGCGAGUCUUCGAGGGGCUGGAAAAUAUAUAUCUCUUUAAUAGACAAAUUGUUGUAUGUUGCUUUCUUCUAAUGGCAAUAAUCAAGGUCUUCUUAGUGACAUGGUUGUUCAUUUUGUUCUA